GAUGAACGCUGGCGGCGUGCCUAACACAUGCAAAUCGAACGGAGUCGUUUUGGAAAUCUCUUCGGAGAUGGAAUUCUCGACUUAGUGGCGGACGGGUGAGUAACGCGUGAGCAAUCUGCCUUUAAGAGGGGGAUAACAGUCGGAAACGGCUGCUAAUACCGCAUAAAGCAUUAAAUUCGCAUGUUUUUGAUGCCAAAGGAGCAAUCCGCUUUUAGAUGAGCUCGCGUCUGAUUAGCUAGUUGGCGGGGUAACGGCCCACCAAGGCGACGAUCAGUAGCCGGACUGAGAGGUUGAACGGCCACAUUGGGACUGAGACACGGCCCAGACUCCUACGGGAGGCAGCAGUGGGGAAUAUUGCGCAAUGGGGGAAACCCUGACGCAGCAACGCCGCGUGAUUGAAGAAGGCCUUCGGGUUGUAAAGAUCUUUAAUCAGGGACGAAACAAAUGACGGUACCUGAAGAAUAAGCUCCGGCUAACUACGUG
rnacentral:rRNA from 1 species